CUGUUUUGGACAGGUAUCGAC
rnacentral:siRNA from 1 species